UACGUAGGGGGCAAGCGUUGUCCGGAUUUAUUGGGCGGAAAGAGCGUGUAGGCGGCUAGAUAGGUCCGUUGUGAAAACUCGAGGCUCAACCUCGAGAUGUCGAUGGAAACCGUCUGGCUAGAGUCCGGAAGAGGAGAGUGGAAUUCCCGGUGUAGCGGUGAAAUGCGCAGAUAUCGGGAAGAACACCCGUGGCGAAGGCGGCUCUCUGGGACGGUACUGACGCUGAGACGCGAAAGCGUGGGGAGCGAACAGG
rnacentral:rRNA from 1 species